rnacentral:rRNA from 1 species
UACGGAGGGGGCUAGCGUUGUUCGUAAUUACUGGGCGUAAAGCGCACGUAGGUGGCUUUGUAAGUUAGAGGUGAAAGCCCGGGGCUCAACUCCGGAAUUGCCUUUAAGACUGCAUCGCUAGAACGUCGGAGAGGUAAGUGGAAUUCCGAGUGUAGAGGUGAAAUUCGUAGAUAUUCGGAAGAACACCAGUGGCGAAGGCGACUUACUGGACGACUGUUGACACUGAGGUGCGAAAGCGUGGGGAGCAAACAGG